rnacentral:rRNA from 1 species
CCUUACCGGCUGUGGAACACCUUACUUACCUAACACUUACACACGCCGUGCCACGCUUAACUGCAUUAAGGCACGGCGUGCCUGGCUGAGUAUGC